rnacentral:sRNA from 1 species
AAAAAAAACUCUUGAUAAAAAAAGAGUUCUCUUAAUUGUGUCAGAGGAAGGGUAUAGGGCUUCUUCUGUUUGUGUAAUAUCACUGGGCUUAAGGGUCUUGAGAGUUAGGGCAAAGUUAUGUUCUUAAAAAUGUGCUUCCCCUUUGCCUCCCCUUCGCUUUAGUUCCCACCUAUGUGGUGGUAGGAACCGUGAAUUUGAUGUCCCAUCCCCAUAAAAUCAGAAUAACACAAAUCUGAAGGUGAUGUGCAUAUUGUAUAUUUUAAUAAAGUCUGAGUAUUUAGCAGUAUACACCAAAAUAAUCCUCCGGCCCACCAGUGCUACACAAGCACUGAGUAGUAAGCAAGGCAUUUAGGGAGUCAGGUGAGAAUGGACCCUAGGCAGGGGAUCCAGCCCAACCCCACCCUGCACGCACAGCAGGUCCUGUGGUCUUCUGUUCCUGCCCCACCCUUGGAUCUUCAGGUGCCUCUCGCUGCUUUCUACGUCGUUGACCUUCACUCUUCUCCACUCUUCUUCUUCCUCUCUCACACCCAUUCCAUGUUUUGCACCAUGUUUUAUGGGUAGCAGCAUCAGGACCACCCAGAGACUGACCAGGCCUACAGACUCAAACCCUGUAGGGGAUGGUGCAGGGAUUCAGGGGUUUCUGGCUAAGUAAGCCCUCCUGAAAGACUCUCCAGCAACCUGCACUGCUUCGGGAGGCCUCAUGUGGUCUGCCCAGCCCUGGGCUGGGUCUUGAGAUCACCCCACUCACAGGCUUCUCAGCUCAGACCUCUCAUCUGGCAUUCUACCCAACUGUAUCCCUGUAAAGCCCCACGUGCUAGGUAGGACCCCUCCCACUAUCUGCUGGUUUAACACCCCCAAACUCCAAGUUAAGUAUUUUUCUACCCGAAAAUUUGAUAAAUGAGCACACGGCCUCAGAGCAAUACAGGCAUUUACUUUGUUGGAGGACAUCAUAAUAAAUGUGUAAGGGAUGUGUGGGUGAGAGAAUGAUUUGCCCAGGCACAGUAUUUCUGUAGAUUCCAUAGGAAACGCAGACUUACUGUUUGUCUUACAUUACCUCUGGGUGGGAAGAGGGAAGAGAUAAAGGGUGCCGUCUGUGUUUGGCUAUGAAAGCAGACAAGCUGAACUGUGGGAACUAUUAUGUGUGGUCUCAGUGCUGAGAAAGGAGAGGCGGGAGGAUCCAUGUGACCGGCUCACUGCUAAAUUGCUCACCCCAGCCCAAUGAGAGACUGUGUAUCAACAAAAACAAUGUGGAGGUCCUGAUGAGUGACACUCAAGGUUGACCCUCGGGCUUCAUACUCAUGGACACACGGGUGCUCCAUUAACACAGACCCAUAUAAAUUGUGUGCUGUUCAUUGACUGUUGUCACAGAACUGGGUGAGUUGCAGGUAAAAAGGAAGCCAUGGGCUGAGGGAUGGAAUGAGCAGUUCUAGGAAACAUAACAUUGUAUCCCUAGAGGAAAGGUGGAGCUUAAAAAGUUACCCUCUGGAAACUUUUCUUUAUAGUGUUAUCAGAAGUGGUCACUCCUCUGGCCAACGUUGUGCAUGAAGCAGUACAAACAUAAGUUGUCUGUCACUGCUUUGAAGGGAGACAAAAACAACACUGUGCGACGUCCAAGGUGAUGUCUUCUCUACAGACCUGGUGGUUUGUGUGUUGAGCAGGGGUCAUCUUUCCACACACAUCUCAAACCAAUGUCCCAAUGUCCUGGUGCUGGUUCCUGCUGAGUUCAGCCUCCUGGCUAAUCCCACCAAGGUGCAUGAAAGGAAAGACAACCGCUCUGGACUUUUUAUUCAAGUUUAGGCACCAGAGGACACCAACAGGUCACGUCCAUGAAGGCAAUGAAACAGGACUCAGCAAACCCUUGCUGCUCAGCUGAUGGUCAGUGCCAGCAAGCCUACCUGUGGGAGUUUGGACAGCAAGAUCCUAGGCCCUGUGCCAAUUUCUGGGUUUUAGGGCCAGCAUUUUCAGAAAGAUUCCCAAGGGGUCUCAGUGUGAAUCACAAUUGGAGCAGCACCAGUCGAGUCAUGGAUGCUUCUAUCCCUGUUACCACACUUGAUCUUAGCCAAAAGGCCGAGAAGCGAUUAUUUCUGUUACCAGUGGUGGGAACUAGAGGACUUUCCAGAUUUAUCUCCCAGAUGCCUAUCUUCAUGGCAGCUGAGUGAUUAUUUUAAAAUGUAAAUGAGAUCAUGUAUGUUUGCAAGACCCAACAAAGGUGCCUCUUCACAUGCGAGGUAAGGUUGGCACUGUCUCCUGGCCGCUGUUUCUCAGCCAGCACUGUCCUUCUCAGGGUCCCUUCCUUCCUUUCUGUGUGCAGCCAGUCCACACUGACAUCCUCUUUGCUCAGUGACAAUGCACAUUUUGGAGUAGGUUAUAAUGUAGCCCAGGCUAGCUUCCAGUUUGCCAGACAAGGAUGGCCUUGAACCCCUAAUCCUCCUGCUACCAUCUUCUAAUAACUACAGUGACAGUCACCUUUUUACCACAACUGGCUUUCUGCAGGCUAAGCAAGCAUUCUACCAACUAAGUCACAACCCCAGCCACUCCAAUACCCUUUUCUGUUUCAACCACAGCACACAUUAUUUCCUGAUUAAUCAUGUUGCUAUAUUUGUUUGUCUCUGCUUAAGAAUGAUGAAUAAGGUGCAUGAAUGUUUACAUAUGCUGCUAAACAUGUGCAAAUAUGUAAAUAGGUUUAAAUUUACUAUGCUUUUUAAUUAUAGUCAUGGUGACCAUGGUAACAUAAUGUAAAUCCAUUCCUCAGUCCCUGGCCUGCAGCCUUCUCAUGGAUUAGGUCUUUAAUCUUCAUGGCAGUCUUAUGAGGUCAGGACUGUUAUUAUCCAUAUUUAUUGUCGACAGAAUCAAGGCACAAAGAAUUGCAAUGACUUUUCCAAGGCCCAAACCAGCUAUAAGAUAGUAAAGGAUUUGUGUUCAGGCAAACUAAUGUUGGGUCCUUGAGGGCUCCACUCACAGACUGAGCAAGGCAAGACUCUCCAUAUUUAAUUCAAAUGUUUAACUAUUGGGGAAAGAGGCAAGUGGAACAAAAGCCACAUCAAAACAGGAGAAAGGGUUAACAGAACAAAGAAACAGGGAAACUUACAUUAUUAAAAAAAAAAACAACUCUUGCAUGUCAGAAAAUAAUGAGGUAGUCUUCACAUUUGCUGAGAUGGCUGCCUUUGCUAAGGCAAAUAUUUGGCAUCAUUUCUGUGGAAAGUAGGGAGGCAGCAGGCAAAAUGCUUUAAUUAUAAAAUGCACUGAAGGCUGGGAUAUGGCUCAUUUGUUAGCGUGCUUACCUAGAACAAAGCCCUGGUGUCUUGGUCACUCUUCUAUUGCUGUGAAGAGACACCAUGACCAUGACAAUUCUUACAAAAGGAAACAUUUAAUUGGAGCUUGCUUACAGCUUUAGAGGGUUGGCCCAUUAUCAUGGUGAGGAACAUGGUGGAUGGCAGGCAGACAUGGUGUUGGAGAA